CCUACGUGAGGCAGCAGUGGGGAAUAUUGGACAAUGGGGGGAACCCUGAUCCAGCGACGCCGCGUGAGUGAAGAAGUAUUUCGGUAUGUAAAGCUCUAUCAGCAGGGAAGAAAGAAAUGACGGUACCUGACUAAGAAGCCCCGGCUAACUACGUGCCAGCAGCCGCGGUAAUACGUAGGGGGCAAGUGUUAUCCGGAUUUACUGGGUGUAAAGGGAGCGUAGACGGCGAUGCAAGUCUGAAGUGAAAGGCGGGGGCCCAACCCCCGGACUGCUUUGGAAACUGUAUGGCUGGAGUGCAGGAGAGGUAAGUGGAAUUCCUAGUGUAGCGGUGAAAUGCGUAGAUAUUAGGAGGAACACCAGUGGCGAAGGCGGCUUACUGGACUGUAACUGACGUUGAGGCUCGAAAGCGUGGGGAGCAAACAGGAUUAGAUACCCUAGUAGUC
rnacentral:rRNA from 1 species